GCUGGGAACAAGCUGUAUAACCCACACACAGCCCUGCAUGGCCCCUCCACAAUGUGUAAUCCUGAUAAAGCAACAUCUGGGCUGCAAGCGUGGCCAAGCCAGAGAAAAGAAGCCAACACCUUUGGGCAAAGAAAACAACAAAAUCUAAGGAGAAGAGCCAGGAAGAAGGGAGGGAAGAGAUGUUCAUGGAAAAAUCUACCUCUAAAAGUCCUAUGCUGUCCAGCAAUAGCUUUUUUCUUUUUCUUCUUGAGAAAUCUGCAUGUAAAACCAAUGCAAUGUUUUAUAUAUUUAUUCAAUUUUCCUCAUUGAAAGGAUAGUCUAGCUGUUGAGAAAACACUUAGUGCCGAUAAAGCUAUUAUCUCC